rnacentral:snoRNA from 10 species
AUCCUUUGUAGUUCAUAAGCGUGAUGAGUAGGAUUUCACACUCAUGUGUGAGAUAUGCCUCCCUCAAACCUUAUAAAUGAUGACGGUACGUUAAAAAAAAUGGUA